UGGGGAAUAUUGCACAAUGGGCGCAAGCCUGAUGCAGCCAUGCCGCGUGUGUGAAGAAGGCCUUCGGGUUGUAAAGCACUUUCAGCGAGGAGGAAGGUGGUGGACUUAAUACGUUCAUCAAUUGACGUUACUCGCAGAAGAAGCACCGGCUAACUCCGUGCCAGCAGCCGCGGUAAUACGGAGGGUGCAAGCGUUAAUCGGAAUUACUGGGCGUAAAGCGCACGCAGGCGGUUUGUUAAGUCAGAUGUGAAAUCCCCGGGCUCAACCUGGGAACUGCAUUUGAAACUGGCAAGCUAGAGUCUCGUAGAGGGGGGUAGAAUUCCAGGUGUAGCGGUGAAAUGCGUAGAGAUCUGGAGGAAUACCGGUGGCGAAGGCGGCCCCCCUGGACGAAGACUGACGCUCAGGUGCGAAAGCGUGGGGCAGCAAACAGGAUUAGAUACCCUGGUAGUCCACGCUGUAAAACGAUGUCGAUUUGGAGGUUGUGCCCUUGAGGCGUGGCUUCCGGAGCUAACGCGUUAAAUCGACCGCC
rnacentral:rRNA from 1 species